NNGCCCGUUGGUCAAGUGGUUAAGACACCGCCCUUUCACGGCGGUAACAUGGGUUCAAAUCCCGUACGGGUCAU
rnacentral:tRNA from 1 species